GCCAACGUGGCUCAGCUGGUAGAGCAACGCACUCGUAAUGCGUAGGUCACCGGUUCGAAUCCGGUCGUUGGCUCCA
rnacentral:tRNA from 1 species